UGAGUUUUACAAUAUCAAUUGCAAUGCGAACACUGCUCGUAAUUGUCAUAGUUCAAGAAAUGGGCAUAAAAUGUUCAAUUUCCUUAAAUAUCCUUUCUAAAGAAAAAUGUGGGCAAAAGAUAUUGGUUUUCCUCAACAAAGAUAUCCUGCAUUAUCCUGCAACAAACAUUUUAAUAAUGAUAUGUGGGAAGACGAAGAAAUAUUUGGGAAAAAAUAAAAAUUAAAACUAAAUGUACAAUGCCAAUUAAAAUAUGUUACAAUAUGUUAUCGGAAAUAUGUUACAAUAUAGUAUUACACAAAUGCAAAAAAUCACUUUGUCAGUAUUUAAA